UUAAAAUUAAUUGGGAUCAUUGGAUAACUAUUAGGUGGAUAUGGUCCACGUGUAUAAACAAUAAAUUGGCAGCAAAUAUUUUAGAUGUAGGACAUUGGGUAUUGUAGCAAAAGUUAGUGAUAAGUACUAAGAAAAGUUUGGCCAUGAAGGAACACGUGUCUUGCAAGACCCUUUUAAGCUCUUAUUACUUCACUUUAUUUGUUAUUUUACAUAAGAGAAUGAAAGCAGCAACACAAUUUUAUCAUUGUGAGCACUAACGUUUGCUUCAUUUUGACGGAGAUGAACAACAAUUUUUCUCUUCAACCAAAAAAAUACUAGAUUUCAGUAUUGGGGAAAAUACAAAUAAUUACAAAGAGGUUAUAUAAAUGUUGGUUUCCUCCGGAUUCUAGCAAAUUUGGGUUUUCUUCAAAGUAAAGUAAAGUGGAAGAAGAUCAUUUUUUGGUAUAUAAGAUUCCACUUUGAGGGAGACUCAGCUCGUGAGCCUAUGAAAAGAGUUGGUAUAAGGUACAGACGAUCGAUUUGCUGAUCCGCCCGCUUAGGAUCCUAUUCCGCUGUCUUGGAGUGCUCUUUUGUCCGGAGCCUAUAUUUUGGUACAGUCCUUUGCUAUUGUAUAUAUGUACGCUAUUCAGGGGCAUGACGGGGCCCUGUCCCGUCUUAUGAUUCUGUUAUGAUCUGUAGAGGUCUGUAGACAUACAUGUGGGUUCUGUAUAUGUUUUGGGUGAUAUGAUCUGUGAUAGCCUCAUUGGCUUCCACGUGCUAUAUUUGUUCACCUGUGAUAGUUAGUGACGCCAUUUGACCUCUAUAUUUAUAUAUAUUCUGCUAAUAUAAUGGUUUGGGUUAUUGGGUACGUUUGGGUGUCCAGCACGGACACUAGUCGCGGCCUACGGGGUUGGGUCGUGACAAAAGUGGUAUCAGAGCGGUUUGUCCUCGGAAUGUCUACAGGCCGUGUCUAGUAGAGUCUUGUUUAUCGGUGUGUUGUGCACCACAUCUAUAAACAGGGAGCUACAGGACAUUUAGGAUGUUGCCUUUCUUUCAUAUCUCAGAUCGUGCGAUAGAGCCCAGCCAUAGGAAAUGAAAUGCCUUUUACUAACCUUUGAUUUCAGCUGAAGAACGGUAUCGACAGAAGAAAGUGGCUGAUGAUAUUGGAAGCUACACUGUACACAGGAAAGAAACGGUGCGAAAGGGGCAUGUUGGAUAAGGUAAGAAUAUUGAGAUAUGAUUGAAAUAUAAGGUUGAAGAAUGAAAGAUAAGGUAGAUAGGAAGAUAUAACAGGACGGAUCGUUAAAGGAUAAGGUACGUCUCGAGGUGCGUUAUAUGAGUUAAGUUCUGACAUUUUUAUACUUUUUACUUGACAAUGAGAGCCCUGUGUGGCUACGAUGCGAUAUGAUAUAUGCGUAUAUAUGUUGGCCCUGUGGGGCAUUGUUGGUAUUUCCUGUGUGCAGGAUCUAGGAUAGUAAGAAGUACAGAGGAAACUCUGCCCAAAUUUUUCCAGAAAUAGGAAAAAGAAAAGAGAAUGAGACCUAAGCUCAUGAUAUGUUCGGAAGGUUGAUACCGACAAGGUAAGUGUAUUAUAUUGGACUAAAGCUUUAAGAAAUACCCCCUUGUCAUCUAUAAGAGGCAUCAUUCUUAUUUGGGAAACAUUGUUUGAAGAAGCGUAUAUGAACAGCGAAUUCGCAAUUCAUUUAGACGGACCAGAAUACGUUCCAACCACAUUUUGCUUUAGAAAAAAAAACCUUUGUUGAAGGGCAAAAACAUCCGGCAAUUAAGUUUCACCUUAUUGGAAGAAUACAAAGCGUACAACAAGCAGUUGGGAAUUAAAUGAUUCGCUUACGACUUAAGAAUAAAUAUGAAGGUAAAUUAUGUGAAUCAAGCACUAAGAAGUUCUGUGGUGCUUGUCGGAUUUUAGUUUUCUUCUGCUGGUGGUUAGAGAAUGUUUUAGAGUAACAUUUUAUCAGUUCUCAUCGACUAAUUGGAGAUGAAAUUUGUGGAAGAAAAACUUAAACUUGUGGGCUGUCUAGGAUUAUAUAUCUCAUGUGUUGUUGGUGAAAUACUAAAGAUGAUCUAGGAAAAGGAGGCAACUCGUAACAGAACAUUUUAUUGAGGUAUCGAGUGAACCGAUAGACAGGGAUAAAUUACGACGAGUUAAAAUUAAAAAGAGUAACAGUAUGAUUGAGAUAAAAGUACAGAAGAGGAAGAGUUAUACCAAAUCUUGAAGGUGUUGAUAAGACAGCUUGUGAUAUAUUAAGGAUAGGAUUGAUUAGAAAAGGGGUGAAUAAAUUGAAGGGAAUCGACCAACGAAAAGGGCAUGUGAAGGGCAUAAUUCAAUAAAAGAACACUUGAGGAAGUAUUGGGAGUACAUGACUGGUUUAACAUUCGGGGACGAAUGUUUUAAAGGGGGGAAGAAUGUUAUAUCCCGUAUUUUCAUGUGUUGGAAAGCGUGCGAGUUAAAUGAUAUUAGUAACGAAAAUGAGUUUAUCCUCCCAAGCUUAUGGGUGGUUGUAGUGAUGGUACAAAUGUGUUAUAAUAUUUGAAGAUAAACAAAUAUAAGAAAAUAAGUUUUGCCGAGGUUCGAAAUUUAUUUGAUGAAAUACGGUCCAAGCUAUAAUAUCCCGUAUUUUUGGACUAGAAAAUUUAAUCGUCCAAUAUGAGCAAAAUUACCCGAGCCCGGAGAAUUCGAUCAUAUUCAAGGAUGAAGAUCAAGAGCUCGGUGUACAAAGAGUUUGAGGUCCCGAAAUAAUUUAAGACUUAACAAGUGUGACCACGGUGAUUGAGAAUAAUAUUUUAUGUAUAUCAAGAGGGACUAUGGACUAGCGCUAUGCCACAUAAUCAUGAUAAUGAGUAUAUGAAGAGUGUUAAAAAUAAUUUAUUACUUAAGUGAAUCGUAGUCAAGGAAUUAACUAUGUGUGUAAUUGGUUUAACGAGGGAUUGUAGUGGAAGACAAAAAAAAAUUAAAAUUAAUUGGGAUCAUUGGAUAACUAUUAGUUGGAUAUGGUCCACGUGUAUAAACAAUAAAUUGGCAGCAAAUAUUUUAGAUGUAGGACAUUGGGUAUUGUAGCAAAAGUUAGUGAUAAGUACUAAGAAAAGUUUGGCCAUGAAGGAACACGUGUCUUGCAAGACCCUUUUAAGCUCUUAUUACUUCACUUUAUUUGUUAUUUUACAUAAGAGAAUGAAAGCAGCAACACAAUUUUAUCAUUGUGAGCACUAACGUUUGCUUCAUUUUGACGGAGAUGAACAACAAUUUUUCUCUUCAACCAAAAAAAUACUAGAUUUCAGUAUUGGGGAAAAUACAAAUAAUUACAAAGAGGUUAUAUAAAUGUUGGUUUCCUCCGGAUUCUAGCAAAUUUGGGUUUUCUUCAAAGUAAAGUAAAGUGGAAGAAGAUCAUUUUUUGGUAUAUAAGGUAAGAAUUAUCCUCUUCUAGGUAUAUUUAAAUUCAUUAAAGUCAUAGCUAAAUCAUGAGAUGGGAAAUACGAAUAUUUUACCGUAAAUUGUAUUUGAUGUUGUUAUUGGCCCAUGGGCUGUUUGUUGGACUGUUUUGUGGGUUAUGUAAACAUAGUUAUGGACGGAAAUUAUGUUAUAUGACAUGAUUAUGAUAACACACAUAUGAAGUGUUCUUAAAAUGAUCAUUAUUUAAGUGAAUUGAGAUUAAAAAAAAAAUUAAAAAAAUUAAGGUUGUUGGGUAAUUAAUACGUGGACAUGCCCAUGUAUUUUAUGGAUAAGUGGCAGCAAGUUAAUCUUUUUGCAUGACAUAAAAUGAUAAUGUUGUUGUGUCAUAUUUAAGAGAUGUGUAUUAAAAUGAAUUAAUACCUAGUUACACGUGUAAAGUGGGGGGAGUGUAUCUAAAGGUUUUGCUUUAAUUUGCUGGACGUUUUUGGUAUAUAAAAAUUGGAAGUGAACAUGUUGCCUUGUAUUCUUAGACCUCCUUACUUCAGAUUUUUAACCAAAAAAAAGUGUGCAGCAACUUCCAUUUUGAUCUUCUCUACUUUAGCAAAAAAUUGUCUUAAGACAAAGUAGCAACAAUGUUUCUUUCCAGUAUAGUAGCAACAUUUUUCUAUUUUAAGAGAACCAACUUUUACUUCGUGAUGAAGCAAAGUCACGGGAAGUUUGACAGAGACCAGCAAAGGUACAAUCUGUCAUCUAAAAUCUUUUAUGAGCUCAAAUCAGCGUCCAAGGUAUGUCUUUGAUGAGAACUUACGAAUUGACGAUCAGAAGCCGGAUAUGCAUUAUUAUUGUUUGUUGGACUAUUUUGGAGUACGGUGUAUGGUAUUCUAUGGAUUGAAUUGGUAAAUUUGAUAUGAUUGUAGUUCUCGUGAUGUAUCAAGCGUAGAAAUCAUGUAAAUGUGUUACGGAUAUAUUGGACUUGUUAUUGUAAUUAGGAAAGCAGAUGGGGAUUUGUUGUUUCCUAAGUUAAUGAGCUUGUAGCUUGUUAUUGUUCACUGAGAUUGUUGGCUGCCUCAUAGAUGUUAAUAUGUCUAAAUGUAAGCUUGGGAAGGUAAAGGAAAAUAGAGGUGAUGCUAUUCAAGUUUGGUUAAAAUGUGUUUAACGUCCAUAAGCUGUCGAUAAGAGCUAUCGUGACGUUAGUAUCAUGUUCGUUGCUGCUGUAGAUUCCACUUUGAGGGAGACUCAGCUCGUGAGCCUAUGAAAAGAGUUGGUAUAAGGUACAGACGAUCGAUUUGCUGAUCCGCCCGCUUAGGAUCCUAUUCCACUGUCUUGGAGUGCUCUUUUGUCCGGAGCCUAUAUUUUGGUACAUUCCUUUGCUAUUGUAUAUAUGUACGCUAUUCAGGGGCAUGACGGGGCCCUGUCCCGUCUUAUGAUUCUGUUAUGAUCUGUAGAGGUCUGUAGACAUACAUGUGGGUUCUGUAUAUGUUUUGGGUGAUAUGAUCUGUGAUAGCCUCAUUGGCUUCCACGUGCUAUAUUUGUUCACCUGUGAU